GAACACAAAUCGCGGCACUGGUCCCGAGUCGUGACUUCAGCGAGCGAUGUAGUGUCGCUUCGUGCCCCGACUCCAGGGCUGCUUUUCCCCCCUUUGUGUUCAUUUUCCUUCCCAUGCUUUGAGCUGUCAAGGGCGACACUGCAUGCUCUCGUCUCGCCGUCCCCCAGCAUCGCUUCCCACUGACAUCCCCUCUUCCGUUGAUCAAAGCCGAUCGAAGCGUUCCCACCCAAUCUCGCGGAUCUGUUGUAUCUCAGUUUAAUCUGCCUCGAAUAUCUUAGAAAGUCUCUUCUUGGUGAUAUUGUAGUUGGAAUGGCUCCGGUUCCUGCAAAAGCUAUGGCAGCACUGAAUGCAAUGAAGGCCAUCGGGAUACCUAUGCAAACAGCUAAACUGGUUUUGAAGAAGCUUCUUAAGGUUUAUGAUAAUAACUGGGAGCACAUUGAAGCUGAGAACUACAGAGUUCUCGCUGAUGCUAUACUAGACAUGCAAGAGUCAGAAUCAAAGGAUAUGGGCAGUAUGGGUAAGAAUGAUGUUGCUAGUAACGAACCUGAGCCUCUGAAGAAAAGAACAAGAAAUAGGAAAGAAGCCAAUGACCCUGGGCCAGCAGUGAUUAGCUCUGAUGCAGCUGCAGAGCCUUCACUUAAAAGGCCAAAAUUAGAAGGAGAUGUUACUUCUGAAGCCUAUCCUGAAACAAGAAGAGAUGAGCUAGCUAAUUCAAUGAUCCACAAAGGGAAAAUAGUUGAAACUUCAUUGCCUGAAGCCCGUUCUGAGUUAGUUUACUCAAAGAAUAACAGAGGAAAAACAGUUGAAUCAGAAUUGCCUGAAAUAGAACUUAGAAAAGAUCAAGCAGUUUACUCAAGGAACCACAAAGGCAAAACAGUCACAGAAACAUCAUCUCAGCCUACUUCUUUUGUAGAAGCACCUGAGAAAUUGUCAACGCCGCCAUUGUCUAAGAAGCAAUGGACAACUGAGACCUUGUUACCUCAGAUAUAUGAUAGUCACAGAAGGACUGGCCAAACUUCAUCUCUUAUGAAUUCUAGAGUGACAAGAUCUCAAAUACGAGGAUUCGAAGCUUGUUCUGGUCCAGAUCAAACUGGUAACUUUUCUUCUGUUCCAAUCAUGCCUAAAGAUGAACCACGUGAUGAUGACAUACCAUUAUGUGAGACUCCUAUUGCAGUGAUACCCCCUCCUCGGCCCAUUUCUUCUCAUGAUGUUGGUGAAGCAAGUCAUCAACAUUCUUCGAAGAGUCCUAUUUUGCAGAAAAUUGUUGUUCGAGAUGGAACACAUGAUGAACAAAAUGAGAAGGAUAAAGAAAACCUCCUAGAUAACACAUGCAACAAAGGGUCCCCAUCCAAAAUCUUGUCAGUUCAGGGCUCAUCUUCUGUCAAUGUCAAUGCUGGUUCAUCAGAUCUAGGGGAUGUAAAACUAUCAUUUUGGUACAAUUCUGAUCGACCCGAUUUCCAUGUGCCAAAUUUGGAGGAUGUUUACAAGCUAGUGGAGGACAAAUGUCUGAGAUCAUUUAAGAUUCUGCAACCUAGCUUCUCCAUUAAAAACCUUAUGAAUGAGAUGUGCCAAUGUUUUUUAGAACUAGGUUCUGAAACAACUGACAAUGAUCAGGAAAAUUUUGUACAGAUAAAUUCUUUGCUCGAUUCACUCAAGAAACCUGUGACGCCUACUGUGUGCAUGCCCGCAAGUUCAGAUUGUUUCUUAGGUCCAACACUGUCUGGUGGUUUUCAGGAUAGAUCUGGUCCAUCUCACUGUCAUAAUGAUGCCGAGAAUAAUCAAAAUGGGACGAGUAAGAAAAGAAAGAAACCUGGAUUUUCUCAAUCUGCAAAGGAUACAUCACAGGGUUUGGCCAUGGUUCAACAACCACAAUAUCAACUUGCAGAAUUUAGGCCGCUCCAUGAUGUGGAUGACAUAUCUAAAGGUGAAGAAAGAGUGCAAAUACCAGUGGUAAAUGAAAUCACAACUGAUAAGUAUCCACCAUCUUUUAAUUACAUACCACGAAACAUUGUGUACCAAAGUGCAUAUCUGAAUUUUUCUCUUGCUCGAAUUGGAGAUGAGGACUGUUGUGCUGACUGUUUCAAUGAUUGUUUGGCUGCACCAAUUCCUUGUUCAUGUGCAAGAGAAACAGCAGGUGAUUUUGCCUAUACAACACAGGGGGUUGUAAAAAGGGAAUUCUUGGAUGAGUGUAUUUCGAUGUAUCGUGAACCAGAGAAGCACCACAAGUUUUAUUGUCCAGAUUGCCCUAUAGAAAGAUCCAAGAAUGAAAUUUCACCAGAGCCAUGCAAAGGACAUUUGGUUAGGAAAUUCAUUAAAGAAUGUUGGAGCAAAUGUGGCUGCAGCAUGCAUUGUGGCAAUCGUCUGGUACAGAGAGGCAUUACACGCAAUUUGCAGGUAUUUCGUACAUCUGAGGAAAAGGGAUGGGGUUUGAGAACGCUUGAUGAAUUGCCUAGGGGUGCAUUUGUAUGUGAAUAUGUUGGGGAAGUACUGACAAACAUGGAGCUCUAUGACAGGACAAUGCAAACAACUGGCAAUGCAAAACAUACAUAUCCUGUGCUACUUGAUGCUGAUUGGGGAUCUGAAGGUACACUUAAGGAUGAAGAAGCACUUUGUUUGGAUGCAACGUUUUAUGGUAAUGUGGCAAGGUUUAUUAACCAUAGAUGCUGCGAUGCCAAUCUGAUUGAAAUUCCAGUUGAAAUAGAAACGCCAGAUCAUCAUUAUUACCAUCUUGCUUUUUUUACAACUAGAAAAGUGGAACCUUUGGAAGAAUUGACAUGGGAUUAUGGCAUUGAUUUUGAUGAUGAUCAUCACCCAAUCAAGGCAUUUAAAUGUAGAUGUGGAAGCAGACUUUGCAGAGAUAAUAAACGCCGAAGGGUAUCCGCUACCACUCCAUUAGAUGUUCAUUGUUAUUGUAGUGAAACCCAAUCAGAUUCUUAGUGGUCGCUUGUAACUCUUUCAUGAGGCUCUCUGACACUAGUACCUCCUUCAUUCAUCCUUGAUUGCUGCUCUUCAGCAAGGGACCCGAUCAAGAGCAUCUGCAAGGUAGUUGACUGGACUUGAAGCUAUAGACUUCGAGAGAAUUUUGGGUUCAUUCCAAAUGAAAGUUUUUGUUAGCACUAACAGAUAGUCAAUAGAAGCUGUUGUUGUGCAAAUUAGAUAGAAAUCCCAACGUUUUUUUUGGAAUGAGCAUUAUCUGGCACUUUCUUAGCUUGGUUCCAACGUUUGGUACUUGCGAUGGGAUAUUUGACGGGAUAUUUUGUAGGUAUCAAAAUUGCCUAUGCAAGCCACUUCAAUCAUAAGUAGGUGUUUGUGUAUCAACGUUUGCAUCAGGAGGAUCUUUGAUUGGCAAAUGCAGUUCCUUAUGUUCUGUGCUAA